AUGGCUUACAUGCAUGCAGCCCGCAGCGGGGACCAUCUCCACAACUCCCAGAUCGAAGCGGAUUUCCGAUUGAAUGAUUCUCAUAAACACAAAGAUAAACACAAAGAUCGAGAACACCGGCAUAAGGAGCACAAGAAGGAUAAGGAUAAGGACCGGGAAAAGUCUAAACAUAGCAACAGUGAACAUAAAGAUUCUGAAAAGAAACACAAAGAGAAAGAGAAAACCAAACACAAAGAUGGAAACUCAGACAAACAUAAAGACAAACAUAAAGACAGAGACAAGGAAAAACGAAAGGAGGAAAAGAUUAGAGUUGCUGGGGAUGCAAAAAUAAAGAAGGAGAAGGAAAAUGGCUUCUCUAGUCCACCACGAAUUAAAGACGAGCCUGAAGAUGAUGGCUAUUUUGCUCCUCCAAAAGAGGAUAUAAAGCCACUGAAGAGGCCUCGGGAUGAAGAUGAUGCUGAUUAUAAGCCUAAGAAAAUUAAGACAGAAGAUAUCAAGAAGGAGAAGGAACGAAAACUAGAAGAAGAAGAGGAUGGCAAACUUAAAAAGCCCAAGAAUAAAGAUAAAGAUAAAAAGGUUGCUGAGCCAGAUAAUAAUAAGAAGAAGGCGAAAAAGGAAGAGGAGCAGAAGUGGAAAUGGUGGGAAGAAGAACGCUAUCCAGAAGGCAUCAAGUGGAAAUUCCUAGAACAUAAAGGGCCUGUUUUCGCUCCACCGUAUGAGCCUCUGCAAGAGGGUGUCAAGUUUUACUAUGAUGGUAAAGUUAUGAAGCUGAGUCCCAAAGCAGAAGAAGUAGCUACAUUCUUUGCAAAAAUGCUUGACCAUGAAUAUACUACUAAGGAAAUAUUCAGGAAAAAUUUCUUUAAAGACUGGAGAAAGGAAAUGACUAAUGAUGAAAAAAAUACGAUUACCAACCUAAGCAAAUGCGACUUUACACAGAUGAGCCAGUAUUUCAAAGCUCAAUCAGAAGCUCGGAAACAGAUGAGUGUAGAAGAAAAAUUGAAAAUCAAAGAAGAAAAUGAAAAAUUAUUGAAAGAAUAUGGCUUUUGUGUAAUGGAUAAUCAUAAAGAGAGGAUUGCCAACUUCAAGAUAGAGCCUCCAGGGCUCUUCCGAGGCCGUGGCAACCACCCCAAGAUGGGUAUGCUGAAGAGAAGGAUCAUGCCUGAGGACAUCAUCAUCAACUGUAGCAAAGAUGCCAAGGUUCCUUCCCCUCCUCCUGGACAUAAAUGGAAGGAAGUUCGACAUGAUAACAAGGUUACUUGGCUGGUCUCCUGGACAGAGAAUAUCCAAGGUUCUAUCAAAUAUAUCAUGCUGAAUCCCAGUUCACGAAUCAAGGGUGAGAAAGACUGGCAGAAGUAUGAGACUGCUCGGCGACUGAAGAAGUGUGUGGACAAGAUCCGAAAUCAGUAUCGGGAAGACUGGAAGUCCAAAGAAAUGAAAGUUCGGCAGAGAGCUGUAGCACUGUACUUCAUUGAUAAGCUUGCUCUGAGAGCAGGCAAUGAGAAGGAAGAAGGAGAGACAGCAGACACUGUGGGUUGCUGUUCACUUAGAGUGGAACACAUCAAUCUACACCCAGAAUUGGAUGGUCACGUGGUGGAGUUUGACUUUCCUGGGAAGGACUCAAUCAGAUACUAUAACAAAGUCCCAGUUGAGAAACGAGUUUUUAAAAACUUACAACCAUUUAUGGAGAACAAGCAGCCUGAGGAUGAUCUUUUUGAUCGACUUAAUACUGGUAUUCUAAAUAAGCAUCUUCAAGGUCUCAUGGAGGGCUUGACUGCCAAGGUGUUCCGUACCUACAAUGCCUCCAUCACGCUGCAGCAGCAGCUUAAAGAGCUCACAGCCCCUGAUGAGAAUGUACCAGCAGAUUCUAUCUUAUAACCGUGCCAAUCGCGCUGUUGCAAUUCUUUGUAACCACCAGAGGGCGCCACCAAAGACCUUUGAGAAGUCAAUGAUGAACUUGGCAGUCUAAGAUUGAUGCCAAGAAAGAUCAGCUAGCAGAUGCUCGAAAGGACCUGAAAAGCGCUAAGGCUGAUGCCAAAGUCAUGAAGGAUGCAAAGACCAAGAAGGUAGUAGUCAAAAAAGAAGGCUGUACAGAGAUUAGAAGAGCAGCUGAUGAAGCUGGAGGUUCAAGCCACAGACCGAGAGGAGAACAAACAAAUUGCCUUGGGGACCUCCAAACUCAAUUACCUGGACCCUAGGAUCACAGUGGCUUGGUGCAAAAAAUGGGGGGUCCCAAUCGAGAAGAUUUACAACAAAACCCAGAGAGAGAAGUUUGCUUGGGCCAUUGAUAUGACUGAUGAGGACUACGAGUUUUGACCAGUCUCGGCAGGGGUUCUGUGAAAGGAACAGUGUGGUUUGGGGAAGAUGGAUAAACUGAGCCUCACUUGCCCUCACACUGGAGGGAGAGGCCACAAGUCUUAACAAACCAACAUCUUUGCAAAAAGAUAGACCUGGAGAUAUUAUAAGGGAGAGCUGAGCCAGUUGUCCUAUGGACAACUUAUUUAAAAAUAUUUC